CUGCUGCUGAUUAGCUAUUGCUGCUGUUCGUUGCUGCUGCUUCAGUUGCAACUGUGACCCUACUCAACCGUUACAUAUAUAGGCCUGUGAUACGGUAACAACACUUCAGUUGAAAGAUUCACGCCGGCAACUGCAAAACUCAGCGACUUCUGAUAACAACGUGUUUCUAAUAGAGAAACAAAAAAGAUGGGAAUAAAUAUAAUUCAUGUGCUCUGUCUCGUCGCCGUGUUUGCUUCAAGCGUACAUUCAUUGCCGAAGCGGAAUGACCAUGUUAUUACUCUGCGUUCGUUACGACAAACCGGCCUCAGUGAUUCUGACAGUCGAGCAUUACUUCAAGCAUACAUUCUCGGAAAGCUAUCCAACGUAGACAUUGCCGGUAACAAGGAAGCAGACAAUUCAGAUUAUACUACCAUUAAGAGGAAAGCAUUUUGGAGACCUAUGGGUUACCUUCCUUUUGAUAACCAUGGCGGUAGUGGCGCUAGCAGCAGCAACGAUAACUCUCCCAGUGGAGGCACAGGAUCUGCUGUAUUCAGAUAUGGUUAAGCGACUCUGAAAUAAAAAAAAAAUCAAAUAUAUAAUGAGGAGAGAAUUAAUGAGUAUCAGUAUGAACUAAGUAAAGACCUAACGAGUUGGUUAUUGUCUUCAGCGAGGUUGAUUCAAUUAAAAUAGUUAUUCUUCUUCA